GACGAACGCUGGCGGCGUGCUUAACACAUGCAAGUCGAACGGAAAGGCCUUUCGGGGUACUCGAGUGGCGAACGGGUGAGUAACACGUGGGUGAUCUACCCUGCACUUUGGGAUAAGCCUGGGAAACUGGGUCUAAUACCGGAUAUACCUCAUGGGCUGCAUGGUUUGUGGGGGAAAGCUUUUGCGGUGUGGGAUGGGCCCGCGGCCUCUCAGCUUGUUGGUGAGGUUAUGGCUUACCAAGGCGACGACGGGUAGCCGGCCUGAGAGGGUGACCGGCCACACUGGGACUGAGAUACGGCCCAGACUCCUACGGGAGGCAGCAGUGGGGAAUAUUGCACAAUGGGCGCAAGCCUGAUGCAGCGACGCCGCGUGAGGGAUGACGGCCUUCGGGUUGUAAACCUCUUUCAGCUCCGACGAAGCGUAAGUGACGGUAGGAGUAGAAGAAGGACCGGCCAACUACGUGCCAGCAGCCGCCGUAAAAC
rnacentral:rRNA from 1 species